rnacentral:tRNA from 1 species
GGUCCCGUAGCUCAGCAGGAUAGAGCAUCAGAUUCCUAAUCUGAGGGUCGCGCGUUCGAAUCGCGCCGGGACCACCA